CCUACGGGGUGCAGCAGUGGGGAAUAUUGGGCAAUGGGCGCAAGCCUGACCCAGCAACGCCGCGUGAAGGAAGAAGGCUUUCGGGUUGUAAACUUCUUUUCUCAGGGACGAAGCAAGUGACGGUACCUCAGGAAUAAGCCACGGCUAACUACGUGCCAGCAGCCGCGGUAAUACGUAGGUGGCAAGCGUUAUCCGGAUUUAUUGGGUGUAAAGGGCGUGUAGGCGGGAAAGCAAGUCAGAUGUGAAAACUCUGGGCUCAACCCAUAGCCUGCAUUUGAAACUGUAUUUCUUGAGUGCUGGAGAGGCAAUCGGAAUUCCGUGUGUAGCGGUGAAAUGCGUAGAUAUACGGAGGAACACCAGUGGCGAAGGCGGAUUGCUGGACAGUAACUGACGCUGAGGCGCGAAAGCGUGGGGAGCAAACAGGAUUAGAUACCCUUGUAGUC
rnacentral:rRNA from 1 species